UAAUACGGCCUUCCUCUGCAAGCGUGAACUAUGGGCAGAAGCUGUGCCUCUGAGGGAAGGAUGAGAAAUUAUAUCUUUAACGCAUUGGCCAUUCUGUUCGUAUUGGCCUAUUUUUUCAAGAAACAACCAAAUGAUGAACACAUUCUUGCUUCCCUUGGAUUUCCCGGGGCGACAGCGCUAGGACCGGCACUUCAGAGGCAGAAUACUAUCUCUCAGGAUGCUACAGGUCAUACGCAUCCACUAACUCGGCAACAACGUGUAGGAAGCAACGGCGAUCACUCUAAUAAUGCGGCAAGACGUUUCAGGAGGCAAAACGCUAUUCCCUAUGAUGAAGACGUAGUGAAGCAUACCAGAGGGCGCACCGAACGAGCUGCUCGUGGCAUCGAUCAUAAUGGACAAAGCGGAAGCAGGAAGAGGCGCAGAACAGGAUCGAAUUCAAGAAGACCCAGUAACAAGCGAAUGAGAGUAUAAGAACGGACGACCAGCGAACAACCGCCCUUUUGAAGACCCCCGGGUUCGGUGAGAAAAAAAUUCGGCAGAUCCCACGUACUGUGGAAGUCGAUGUUAUGCGAAGCAUGCGGCGGGAAGGUGACUGUGGCGUGAAUUUUUAAUGAGUGGCACGUUACAAAAUGACGCUAAGGAUUUGUGUACAUUUUAUACGCACAUAUAUAUGUUGAAGAGCCGCAUAUGUGCUAUAUAACCAGUUGUUUACGAUUGGGGAGCGCUGCCAAGGGCAACGUGGGUAUUACCAACACCAGAAGCGGUAAGCUGAUAUGUAGUGUUUACACUUGUUCCUUAUGAUGGAGAACGCACGCACGAUUCACGAACCCAUGUGAGUGUGUGCAAGAAGUUAUUGACAGUGCUUGAACAAGGUCAUCAUCACCGCGAUCAGUGAGCACCAGCAGCUGGUCAUGAGUUAUAGGAUCCAGUCGUGGUCGUGGUGACGAAGGACCAUGGGUAGUGAAGUAUGUGGUAUAGUAGAGCUGUUGGAAUUCGUGAAUGCCUCGGCCAUUUCGUCGACAAGUUGUCUGUCGAUAGAGCCGGCGGCAUGUCGGAACCUGAAGCCACCCUUCGCGUUGGUGAGGUAUAGGCCAUCGAGGCUGGUAGGCCUGGAUAGUGCUACGUAGACUAACAUCAGUGGAUGGCGCUUGUCGUAUUCGUAGACUACCUGGGCGUAUGUGGCCUACAUUGCCUAGUCUACAAAGCGGCUGUCAAUCAAUCUGGCAUCAUCCUCGGCCAGCAUGAGGCCAUCGCCCAGCCUCGUGGGAAAUCAAAAGGACACUGCGUCAUUCUGGCGGACAAAGUGCAUUUUACGGUGCGGAGAUGUGGAUAUCACAUGUAACUUUCGGUAAUGUAUUC